rnacentral:lncRNA from 1 species
AUUUUAAGGGAAAACUUUAAAAACUCCCGUGUGGUUUCGUAGUCCUCGUAGUCCUCUAUGGUUUAAAAUGUAUCAAUUUGUUUUUCUGUGAUUUUUUUUUCUCUUUUCCUUAUCAAUUUUAUUUUUUUUUUUCUUAAAUCAGUGACAAAGUUAAAAUUAAAUGAUAUUAAAAUAAAUAUUUGAUAAAUCUAGAUGGGUAUCUGAAGUUUUUUGUAUAUAAUUUAAUGAAAUAUUAACGAAAAAGCUACCGAAAAAUUAAAAACGAAAUCAUAGGGGACAAUUUGAUACAUUUUAAAUUACAGAGGGGAAAAGUGAGAAACUACCAAACCGCAGAGGAGGUUUUUGAAGUUUUUCCUAAUUUUAAAGUGCUUGAAUUUU